rnacentral:rRNA from 1 species
GAUGAACGCUGGCGGCGUGCCUAAUACAUGCAAGUCUAGCGAACGGACGAGAAGCUUGCUUCUCUGAUGUUAGCGGCGGACGGGUGAGUAACACGUGGAUAACCUACCUAUAAGACUGGGAUAACUUCGGGAAACCGGAGCUAAUACCGGAUAAUAUUUUGAACCGCAUGGUUCAAAAGUGAAAGACGGUCUUGCUGUCACUUAUAGAUGGAUCCGCGCUGCAUUAGCUAGUUGGUAAGGUAACGGCUUACCAAGGCAACGAUGCAUAGCCGACCUGAGAGGGUGAUCGGCCACACUGGAACUGAGACACGGUCCAGACUCCUACGGGAGGCAGCAGUAGGGAAUCUUCCGCAAUGGGCGAAAGCCUGACGGAGCAACGCCGCGUGAGUGAUGAAGGUCUUCGGACCGUAAAACUCUGUUAUUAGGGAAGAACAUAUGUGUAAGUAACUGUGCACAUCUUGACGGUACCUAAUCAGAAAGCCACGGCUAACUACGUG